AUCCCAUCGAGCUCACCAUGGCCCCAAAGAGUUUCUUCCUCCUCUUCCUUACCAUCCACUUGCUUGCUACGGCCCUGCUCUUCCCUCCAGCGGUGGCCAGAGAGCUCCCACCAGGGGAGCUAAAAGAACAGCUGACUACUGAGCAAUCUAGAGACACAUCAAGUGUUGAAGAAGAGAAAACAAUCUGCUACUAUAUCCUGGGUGAAAGAAUCUGCAUCCCACCUGCAGCAUCUCCCUGACUACCAGAGUGCAUCACAGUGUUGUCUAUGGGCUCUCCAAGUGGGUUCUCCUGAUUAUAAAUUGCUUGGAGUAUCAGGGAGAGUUAAAAAACCCGAACAUGUAUUUAUAUGGCAAACAAGGGCUGAGAGUAGUUUGUUUGUUCUUGUCAUCUUUCUAAUAAAGUUUGUCAUCUUUCUAAUAAAGUUGGAACUUGACGUGGA